GGGUUGGGGCUAGGGUUAGGGUUGGGACCCCUUGGGGUCUGACCAGAAAAUUCAGUUUAUGGGGAGAUCCCUAGAGGUAUUACAAGGAAAGAGAAAGCGACAGCUUUUCAUUCGGACAUAUUUUGGGUGGACAGUAAAUUUCAUGGGAAAAUCCCAUUCAGAAAAUUAAACUAGGGUUAGGGUUGGGGCUAGGGUUAGGGUUAGGUCUCCUUGGGGUCUGGCCAGAAAACUAACCUUCACGGGAGAUUCCUAGAGGUAUUACAAGGAAAGAGAAAGCGACAGCUUUUCAUUCGGACAUAUUUUGGAUGCACAGUAAAUUACAUGAGAAAAUUCCAUUCACAAAAUUAAACUAGGGUUAGGGUUGGGGCUAGGGUUAGGGUUAGGUCUCCUUGGGGUCUGGCCAGAAACCUAACCUUCUGGAGAGAUUCCUAGAGGUAUUACAAGGAAAGAGAAAGCGACAGCUUUUCAUUCUGACAUAUUUUGGAUGCACAGUAAAUUACAUGGGAAAAUCCCAUUAAGAACAUUAAACUAGGGUUAGGGUUGGGGCUAGGGUUCGGGUUAGGUCUCCUUGGGGUCUGGCCAGAAAACUAACCUUCUGGGGAGAUUCCUAGAGCUAAUACAA